CUAGAUCCGCAGCCAUGUCUUUGUGGCGUACGGCCUGUUCAACCAAUUUUGACGCCCUAAAUCGAUUUAGGAAUAAAUUAUGUUGAAAAAAAGGUUUUGCUUAUUUUUGUGAAGACAUGGAGAAAGCAGGCGACAAAGUGGCAGGCUAAAUAAAAGCUUAAACUGCAGGCAGCCACAAUGGAAAUAUAACUUUUCGUGUGAAUUGUUUCGUAAAAUAUUUUUGUAGAAAGUUCGUCAUAUUUAAGCACGUCAGAACUCCAGGAAAAUCUCUACAAGACAAAAUUGGUUGGGUACGCCACAAAGACAAGGCUGCGGCCAUGAAGAACUUCGUUGUGAUGGGAGAAGUGAUGACUGUGGAGGCGCGCAAAAUGUUCUCAGCUCCAUACAAUGGCACUGAAACGGAAGGCAAAGUAAUAUACUACAAGAUGCGGGGCACUUCUUUCGCUAUUUGGACGAACUCACCAUUGGCUGGAACCAUAGCGUCAGAGCAGUCGCUGUGCUCUUACAAUACCCUCACCCCUUUCGUUUAGGCCUCGGAAUGAACUUUCUGUGUUCUACUACGACCAUCGAUAGACCUACGAUAGUAGGCCAUCGUUUUGGUACAGCCCGCUUUCGAUGAUGCCAGUGAUGAACUGGAUAAACUGAACUCAUCAUGCAGCUGCUGCGUGACAACCUCACACUAUGGACAUCUGGCUUGCAGCUACAAACGGCGUCAGAUGACAACACCACAGUUGGCGUGAGCCUAAGAACCUGAUUGAAGAGGGACAGGUGGAAUGGAUAAGUAUUAAUUUAAGUAGACAUGCACCCGUCACUUAAACACCACCCUUUAGGACUGAAUUAUUUGAGAACAACACCAUAAAGUUAUGUGACAACCUCUCACCCCGUGCCGCCCGACAUGCAGGUUAUGGCCAGACGAAGGACAUAAGCCACAAAAACAUGGAAACAGAACUACAAAAAGGAAUACCAAAACAGAUCUCGAGAAUAACAAGAACAUUUACCGAUAUUUGAAAGGUUAAAAUCUUGCAACAAAAACACGAAACCCAAUCAAUCAGAAGCAGCAACAACACAAAAAGAAUCACAUCAGACUUCCUUUUCCUCCAUGAACGCCCUAG